ACUCCCACCAGGCCCCACAACAGCACUGUCUAUUUCCAGGCCGCCAGUGACCAGGGCUGACAACUUGCCCAGACCACAAGACUCCCUGUUGAGAAAGCAAGCGGACUCACAGUUUUUCAGUGUCUCAGGGAGCCUGCAGCAGUGAUCCAGUUCCUUCAAAAGAUUUAAGUUAAUUUUUCAACGUUGAAACCACUGACUAGAGAACAGGCCAUGACCCCAGGAGAAAGACCCUGCAACACAUUUUAACUGCACAUGGUAAUUAUUUCCUAGUCCUUUCCAAAAGGUACCAAUCUCCAUUUACUUGGGUAACUGUGCACUGGGAAAAGGGGACUACUCAGAUAUUUGUUAGACACAAGGUCUGAAUUGACAUUGAUACCUGGGACCCAAAGCACCUAUUGUAGAGGGGGCAUAUGAAAGCCAUGUAAUAAAUGGAGUCCUGGCUAA